rnacentral:rRNA from 1 species
CCACCGGCGGCCCGAGUGGUGAUCGUGAUUAUUGGGUCUAAAGGGUCCGUAGCCGGCUUGGUCAGUCCUCCGGGAAGUCUGACGGCUCAACCGUUAGGCUUUCGGUGGAUACUGCCAGACUUGGAACCGGGAGAGGUAAGAGGUACUACAGGGGUAGGAGUGAAAUCUUGUAAUCCCUGUGAGACCACCUGCGGCGAAGGCGUCUUACCAGAACGGGUCCGACGGUGAGGGACGAAAGCUGGGGGCACGAACCGGAUUAGAUACCCGGGUAGUCCCAGCCGUAAACGAUGCUAGCUAGGUGUCAGGCAUGGCGCGACCGUGUCUGGUGCCGCAGGGAAGCCGUGAAGCGAGCCACCUGGGAAGUACGGCCGCAAGGCUGAA